UGCUAGGGGAGCGAAAGCUGAGAAAGUCAUCGACUUGACCCUUUGAACUUGAUGCGGGUAAUACCGACGUAGGGAAGCAGAGAAC
rnacentral:ncRNA from 1 species